CAGGCAUCUUCCUCUCUCCCAUCAAUUCCCACCAAUCAGAAUCACACAGAGGAUUCAAAAAGUGCACCACCAGAUCAAAAAGAUGUCCUGUUGAAGACUGUACUUCCCUUUGCCGUAUUUGCCAUUGUUACAUUCAUUGGCAGUGUGGCUGUUGUCCUGAUCAUAAAACGCUACAAACACCAACCAACCAAUAAGCCUGAAGGGAAGGGUAGCAAUGAGGGAACAGCGCAGACCAAAUCAGAUGAAGACCUCCCCUUACGACCCCUGAGAGAACAGCGCAGACCAAAUCAGAUGAAGACCUCCCCUUACGACCCCUGAGAGAACAGCGCAGACCAAAUCAGAUGAAGACCUCCCCUUACGACCCCUGAGGGCUGAGAAAACAGCGCAGACCAAAUCAGAUGAAGACCUCCCCUUACGACCCCUGAGAGAACAGCGCAGACCAAAUCAG